UACGUAGGUGGCAAGCGUUGUCCGGAUUUAUUGGGCGUAAAGCGCACGCAGGCGGUUGAUUGAGUCAGAUGUGAAAUCCCCGGGCUUAACCCGGGAAUUGCAUCUGAUACUGGUCAGCUAGAGUCUUGUAGAGGGGGGUAGAAUUCCAUGUGUAGCGGUGAAGUGCGUAGAGAUGUGGAGGAAUACCGGUGGCGAAGGCGGCCCCCUGGACAAAGACUGACGCUCAGGUGCGAAAGCGUGGGGAGCAAACAGGAUUAGAUACCCUGGUAGUCCACGCUGUAAACGAUGUCGACUUGGAGGUUGUGCCCUUGAGGCGUGGCUUCCGGAGCUAACGCGUUAAGUCGACCGCCUGGGGAGUACGGCCGCAAGGUUAAA
rnacentral:rRNA from 1 species